GUAUGCAGCUGUAAGUGAAAGAUCUAGAAACUGUUCUUGGGGGAUAUCUGAAUGCCACAGGUCACUUUAAGUAGACGCAUCUUCAAAUCAAAACAAUUGCAGAUGGUUUAGCACUGCAAUAGAAUAUCGAAACGCUCACCAGUGAACCUAGAUUUGCACAAGGAGCACUUUGCUGCUGUUGCUGCACUGAUGGUGUCACAAAGCAAUUCCACAAACUUUUCCCAUGGAAGAAAGGUAGCUCUUGCAUUGUCUCCACCAUGGCACAGUGUUCCUUAUGUGGUGAUGCUUCUUUGUAGGGCUGCAUGAAUCACAAAAGCAGAGAACUGGCCAUAUUAGAAAUACCCCGGUGGCCUUCUGUCUUUCACAAGCAAGCAUGAUACCUGCAUGCUGUUAUCUGCCUUGUCUGUGAUCAUAGUCCACCAUAGUCCACCAUGGCAACACACUGUUUUGACAAAGACCCCAUCUUAUGAGUACUAUGUCGGUCUGCACUUGUUGGUCUGCACUUCUAUAGAAAAUGUUAUUUGAACUAAAUUCCACUUGUGUUUAAGGAACUUCUUAGUUCCCUUUGAGUUCUCUUCUAUGCAUGAAAGAUGAAAAUUUGAAGAAGUUGUAUGACAGAGGUGAAGAGUGAGGCUUUUCGGACACUGGGGAAGAUGAUGAAUCUGAAAAGAGAACACUGAGGAGCCUGAGUGUAUGGGAGGUACUUAACAUCUGAGGUCCACGGUACCACCUUGGACUGAUCUGGAUUCCAGGUGAUAUUUGCUCGAUACAAGAAAUUCAGCCUUUGGGCAGAAAUACGAAUUGAUUCCGAGGAAGCACUCUGACCUCAAAGCUGUUGGGUAAGCCUGGGCAUGGGUGAGGGCCUCAAUUCCUCCAUGGGGUGUAUUUUGAGAGGAGAAGCUGAUCUGUAUAGUGAAACCCAGGAGGACCGGGUGUUGGAUCCUCCACAGCAAAGAUCCUGGCUGCUUCUCAGGAAGAGACACCUGCUUUCUAAGGAAGGAAAAGUUUUUCUCCCUCGAGUUUCUUAUGGGCUGGUGCAAGAGCUCCUCACACAAAAAAAAACCAGUUCUCACUCAUUUCUCAGUGGGGGCCCUGCCCAUGGCUGGUGAACACCAUGGCUCUGCCCUGCCCCAGUCAGGCUCCUCUUGCUAUGAAGUCCCCUGGUACUGCUCAUCCCCAACUCAGUGUGCACUGUUUCUCCCUGCUGAUGUUAAAAAUACAAGAGAAACUGGAAGUUAAAUAUAAGAACCAGAAGCAGGCUGGUUGGAACUGAAAACUCCCCAGCUCUUCCCUGUGCCUGAAUUCUGGUGUGGAGAGGGAAAGCGUUGUUUAUCUCCCUUUGAACUUUAGCUAUGCAGCAUCAAGCGUCACUCCCUGCUGCUCUUGCUUUGGUCUUCAUUUCUUGUAAUUUAUAGUUACUCAAAUCUUGGGAUUUCUAUGGUUUGCUUUUUUUCUGAUAUUAGUUGUCUGGGCUUGUCAGGGUAAAGUGCUUAGACUUCCAACACAAGUCAUGGUGAAUGCAGCAAAGUGUAUUUUCCUUAUUCGCUCAAUAACCACUGGCAAGCAUCAACAGUGAGCAAAGACUUUGAUCAGAAUUACAGGCACUUUUAAGAAAGGAUAAAUUAAACAUCUCUGUUUCAUUUUGCAGUGAUUUUAUUAUGUGUUUGCAACAGUCUAUGCAAAAUGUCUGGCGUGAAUUUCCAUAUUUUAUACAUUUUGUAAAAUUACAAAUUUCUGGAAGUUUAUUUUCUACUGUUUUUUUAUAGAAUCAUAGAAUACUUAGGGUUGGAAAGGACCUUAAGAUCAUCUAGUUCCAACCCCCCUGCCAUGGGCAGGGACACCUCACACUAAAC